AGGCUUUUGCUACUGAGGCAGAGGAGUAUCCACAGAAGAUCAGGCUGUGUCACAAUCUGUCUCGGCCACCCCAGGAGAUAGCAAAGGCUCUUGUGAUGAAGCGCUAUGAGGAGCUGGACCUUUACGACCGCGAGUUGGAGAAGGAGACAGCAAAGAUUGAAGCAGACUCCAUGCUCUUCUCAGAUGACGUUUUCACCAUUGAGCCCUUGGAGGGAGAGGUUGGGCCACAUUGUUCAGCUGAAAUCAAGGUGUUCUUUAAACCCCGAGAAGCCCAAGUCUACAGAAAAGUGGCC